UUUUUUUUUUUUUUUUUUUCCUCCAGAUGGUUGUCUUGUCAGUAUCCAGCAUGAUCCCACACCAACUCUUUCAGCUAAUUUAAAGUCCAUAUUUGGUCCGAGGAAAUAUUCGUUCUCCUAGAAAAUUCUGGAAAUGAAAUUCUGCUAAAAAUGUGGCUCAUGUUCUGCUAUGACAAAGAAUCUCUGCCAGUCCUUCUAUCCAUUUAAAUUUCUAAAGAAUGACUCAGACACCAGUUUACUGAUCACCCUACAAAUAAAGGAUGUUGACCAAGCUUUUACUGAACACCUUUGAAGCCUUUACAUGAGGCUUGCAUUCGAGGGGAAGCAAACUCUGUGUUCUUUGGGAGUGGUGAGACUAUAGAGAAAUUCUUUUCAAGUAAACCCUCUUUGAAUGUCAUUUAUUCUAACUUUCUAGCCAUUUUUCUCCAGAAAUGUGUGGUUAACUAAGACUAUAUGACUGGUGUUCUUACAACUUCAUUAUAUGCCCUGCAUCUGGGUCUCAGAUCUUAAUUUUGAAAACUUAGCAAAUGGUUCCAGCAAUUUAGCUGAAGCAUAGACUAAGAGAAUUCCAUUUUAAAAUCUAGACCAAGAUAACUUUAGGAGACAAAACACAUGGGGAUGGUCCUUAGUCACAUUUCUCCCCCAAGUUCCUCUUCAAUAACUUAACAGUUGACCAAGUAGAAGAAUAGUGGAUUAUCAGCUAUUAAGAUCACUCGUCCACCAGGGACCUUCCGUUGCUUCAUAGACACAAAGACGUUUCCUGCUCCUCAUUCUCAUAAAUCUGAAGGGCAUUUCAAAGAUCAAACUCUUCUCUAGUAGGACAUUUGCCAUGGUGCAUACAGUCUAACUUUAUCUGGUCUAAGAAUGCCUCCGGUUACGGGGAGCCUAAAGGGUCCAGUGUGCUUUGCUACUUCACCAAUUAUUUUUUUCUUAACAAACUCUGUUUUGUAUUUCUACUAGCUGGAUCUGUGUGCACCACUUGCACAGGAGUUGGCAACACUGAAGGGACAAAUACCACUCUGUCCCUGUGCUAUGUGUUUUUGGAAGUGACAAUGUUUUACUGGCUUAGCUUGCAGAUGAGAAAUAUUCCUUUUUAGGGACAGUGGCUGUAGAGAGAAGUACUGAGAGAGGCACUUUUUCUGCCAUGGGCAGGGAUCCACAGUGUUAUUUCAUAGCUCAGGAUGAAGCUGGGUGGCCAGUGUUCAGAAGCCCUAGAGAUGGCAGGGUAACCAUGGAAUCUAGAAGCCCAGUAGCCUGUGGGGGCUCUUGGCCUAUAUCCAAGGACUGGAAGAAAUGGUAUUAAGCCGCCAUAGGCCCCAAAGAAGCAAGCUUUUCUAAAGGGAAGUAGAUACAUUACAAAAGGAAAUCACGGAUAAUCGGGAUUACAGUUAGCCAAUGAAAGGGAGGCUAGAUUUUGUGGAGUCUGGGGCAAACCCACAUAAAUGAUAACGUGUUGUAGCUAAAUACUGGAGGACGACACAAUUAUAAGGAUGAGUCAUCAUGGUUAUUGCUGCAGCCCUUUCUCGUAGCAUGAAUGGGACAUUCCAGCUCACGAAAAAACAAAACGAAACCUGGAAUUAUUAUUAUUAUUUUUUUGCUAUUUCCAGGGAGCAAAAACUCAAACCAAUUGACAGAAUAUAAAUUCCCACGUAAGAGAAUUAUGUUGACAGAAUAAACUGGAACAAGUCUAAGAUGUACUGCAACAAUCUGAACCACCCCCUCCCCAGGCCCCAGAGGAAGCUCUUCAAAUUCCCAAACUUAAUGGAGUAAGAGUUAACAUGACUUUUGUUUUUGGAUUGACUUGCUAUUUUUUAUGUCAACUUACAUAACUAAUAGGGAUAUCUAGGGUGUGCAAAUGUACAUUCUUUUGAUUGGAUAAAUUAAUUUACAGCCCUGUUGUUGGAUUCUGUAACAAUUGGUUACAUGUAUGGCCAAGAAAGUCUUGAAUGA
rnacentral:lncRNA from 1 species